AUCACUGGCAAUUCCAAUCAUCUUAGGAUGAUUACACUCAUCUUAGAAUAAGCAUAUAACAAGCAACAACAGUUUCCAUCCCAAUUCCUGCGCAGGAAAAGUCAUUGGAAGAGCAACACAGCAUUCUGGAGAAGAAGCUCAUGGAGAAUGACAAUAAUCACAAGGCUUCUAAAGACUCUCUCCCCAACCUCAACACCAGAACUUACCCAGAGAGAGCUGCGGUUGGAGUGGAGCGACCUGUCCAGCCCGGUGCCGGUAAGAAGAGUGAUAGUUUACCUCCAUGGAUGCUUAGCCAUGUCGAAGGAAGAUGAGAACUUUCCACCAUUGGCAACCUGAGC